ensembl:lncRNA novel transcript
CCCUCCCAAAAAAGGAUAUAGCCACCACCAUUUAUAAUUAAUUCAGGCCCCACUUCACUCUGUCCCACCUGCUUUCUGUCUCUCUCUCUCUCUUUUUUUUUUUAAGAUCUUUUUCUGAUAUGCCUGGUUGCCCCAAUGCAAGUCUCCUCUUUCUGAAGCUUCCUGUGCCACCAGGGGCCUGUCCACCUCAGAGACCUCUCAGGUGCAGCUCAGCUGCAUCCACAGGGGGUCCUGAGUCCCUAGGCCCUGCACAGAUGUCUACCCAGGUUCUCUUGGUCUCUUCCAUAGCUAUGAGGCCUCCUCAUUGAGGGUGCCCAAACACCACCCUUAAUCACAAGUUUGCCAGCCUCCACCUUCUAACCCUCCUAGACCACAUCAGCCCCUGCCUUAUUCCAGUAUUUUCCUGAUUUCGCCUAUUUCCAGCUUCCCUCAGCCAUUCACAAGCACAGCCUGAUGCUGUGCAUAGGAAGACCUGGCAGUAAGCCUAUGGUGAACAAAUAUUUUUAAUGAACAAACAGAAAUUAUGGCCCCAAACUGAAAACACCCUGGAAGCCACAAACUCUGUUACCUUCAAAAGAAGCCAGAUCUGGACCGCUGAGGUUUUUAAAAAAUGCAAUGAGCGAAUUAGUGAAAUCAGUUCAUCACGGACACUGUGUCUUUCAGGAAAUGAAGCCUCCGAAGAAAAAAGGGAUCCUAGCCCCUGCCAAAUUCCAUUCUGUUUCAAAUUAGCCUUCCAGUAAAAUGAGGGGGCUGUCCUAACUGGUCUUUAAGGUCCUCCUAGUACCAGAGCUCUGAGGCUCUGUAUUUCCCCUGAACAACCUCUUGGAACUCUCCACAUUCUCAUAACAGAAGAAAAUGCAUUUGUGCUCUGGGCUGAAGCUCAGAAGUGGGCUUUCACGACAGUCAUUUCAGGCCUGUUUCCCUUUUUCUCCCUUCCCUGAAAGGGCCUCUGGUCUUUCCCAAGCUGCCUGAGUAGAAGGAAACACACAGCUCCCCCAGAGCAGAGAGGCCCGCGAGAGGGAAAGCUGGCCCAGGCCCAGGGCAGGCUCGCCUCUGACUCUGCAGGGACAUUAUUCCCUCCCAGCCAGCAGGGAACUUCUGGAACUUCUAAACAGCACAUCCUCGAGCCAGCCCAGGCCCCCACAGCAUCCUGCACCCCAGGUUUACAAGCUUUUUAAUGGCUGGUCCAGAGAUUUCAGGAUGCAUCACUGAUUCCAGGCAGGGCUCCAUCCCCGGCCCACACUCAGCCCAGGACCUGGCCAGAGAAUCACCAAGCAUUCCCGGCAACACGAUGCACGGCCCAUUUUCCAUGCCAGGCUCUUCCAGGGUCUCUGGGUGGGAGCAGCCCGGCCUUCUCACUGGGUUCCUGCUAUGUCUGGGGGGUACAAAAAGCUUAUGUUGGCCAGGCGCAGUGGCUCAUGCCUGUAAUGCCAGCACUUUGGGAAGCCAAGGCAGGCAGAUCAAUUGAGGACAGGAGUUCAAGACCAGCAUGGCCAACAUGGUGAAAUCCUGUCUCUACUGAAAAUACAAAAAUUAGCCAGGCAUGGUGGCACAUCCUAUAGUCCCAGCUACUCAGGAGGCUGAAGCAGGAGAAUCACUUGAACCUGGGAGGCAGAGGUUGCAGUGAGCCAAGAUUGCGCCCCUGCACUCCAGCCUGGGCGACAGAGCGAAAACCUGUCUUAAAAAUAAAUGAAUAAAUAAAUAAAGGUAUAUGUCUCCA